rnacentral:rRNA from 1 species
GAUGAACGCUGGCGGCGUGCCUAAUACAUGCAAGUCGAGCGAACAGACGAGGAGCUUGCUCCUCUGACAUUAGCGGCGGACGGGUGAGUAACACGUGGAUAACCUACCUAUAAGACUGGGAUAACUUCGGGAAACCGGAGCUAAUACCGGAUAAUAUAUUGAACCGCAUGGUUCAAUAGUGAAAGACGGUUUUGCUGUCACUUAUAGAUGGAUCCGCGCCGCAUUAGCUAGUUGGUAAGGUAACGGCUUACCAAGGCGACGAUGCGUAGCCGACCUGAGAGGGUGAUCGGCCACACUGGAACUGAGACACGGUCCAGACUCCUACGGGAGGCAGCAGUAGGGAAUCUUCCGCAAUGGGCGAAAGCCUGGCGGAGCAACGCCGCGUGAGUGAUGAAGGUCUUCGGAUCGUAAAACUCUGUUAUUAGGGAAGAACAAAUGUGUAAGUAACUAUGCACGUCUUGACGGUACCUAAUCAGAAAGCCACGGCUAACUACGUG